rnacentral:rRNA from 1 species
UGGGGAAUAUUGCACAAUGGGCGAAAGCCUGAUCCAGCAAUGCCGCGUGUGUGAAGAAGGCCUUCGGGUUGUAAAGCACUUUUUGUCCGGAAAGAAAUCCUUGGCUCUAAUACAGUCGGGGGAUGACGGUACCGGAAGAAUAAGCACCGGCUAACUACGUGCCAGCAGCCGCGGUAAUACGUAGGGUGCAAGCGUUAAUCGGAAUUACUGGGCGUAAAGCGUGCGCAGGCGGUUUGCUAAGACCGAUGUGAAAUCCCCGGGCUCAACCUGGGAACUGCAUUGGUGACUGGCAGGCUAGAGUAUGGCAGAGGGGGGUAGAAUUCCACGUGUAGCAGUGAAAUGCGUAGAGAUGUGGAGGAAUACCGAUGGCGAAGGCAGCCCCCUGGGCCAAUACUGACGCUCAUGCACGAAAGCGUGGGGGAGCAAAACAGGAUUAGAUACCCUGGUAGUCCACGCCCUAAACGAUGUCAACUAGUUGUUGGGGAUUCAUUUCCUUAGUAACGUAGCUAACGCGUGAAGUUGACCGCCUGGGGAGUACGGUCGCAAGAUUAAAACUCAAAGGAAUUGACGGGGUCAUAGCUGUUUCCU